rnacentral:rRNA from 1 species
GACGUAGGGUGCGAGCGUUGUCCGGAUUUAUUGGGCGUAAAGAGCUCGUAGGCGGCUCGUCGCGUCAGCUGUGAAAACCGGCAGCUUAACUGUGGGCUUGCAGCUGAUACGGGCGGGCUAGAGUUCGGUAGGGGAGACUGGAAUUCCCGGUGUAGCGGUGAAAUGCGCAGAUAUCGGAAGAACACCCGUGGCUAAGGCGGCUCUCUAGUACGGUACUGACGCUGAGACGCGAAAGCGUGGGGAGCGAACGAGG